AUUACAUCACCCAAUGACUGAAGCUUUGGCUAUCUUAAAUUUCUUCAUUUCAUGCACUUCAAUCAAGGGAGACCAAAUUCCUAAAGCCAUAUAAUAUCCUUAAAAUAUCCUCAGAGCUACUAUGGCAUGAUAAGUGCAUCCAACGUGGCAAGGAACCACUAUGUUUUAUUAGUAAGCACAGAAGUAAAACUUUGCUGACUGGAUUACUCUUUGGCACAACUACUCAGAGACUGGCUUCUUCUAAAACUCUGUGUGCAUGUCGUGAAACAGCGAUGAGAGAAUGUUAAUGUGUGCAGGAGGACAGAUCCUGCUCACUGUUUCUUCUGCCUGGCACCACAACAUUUACUUUAAGUGUCAAGACAAAAAUUUGUUGCAAAUACAGUCACCAUUUUAUUUUACUGUCACCUGCCUAUACUGGUGGGAUUUUCAACAUCAGCUUAAUUCAUUUCCUAUGAAAAAGUCUUUCCUCCUGGAGAAAGUUAUUUAUACAGAAGAACAAUGACCUAAGUAGCAGUCUGUAUUUUGCAACUACAUAGAGGAACUGCUAUGGUUUUGCACACUGAAGCUUCAUAAAAUAUUUUGGGCUCGUGCUUUUUUAUGUCAUUAUGGAAAAAAAGUCCAAAUAAACAUGUCCAUUGCAGCUGCUCCUUGCAGACAACACCCACUUAGAGCACUGGGAGUUCACCAUGCCAAGGCAAGGCUUUGUAUUUUGGAAAGCAGUCACCACCUCUGUGCAUGAGGGAGUCCAAGAAAAUACUGCAGGUUAAGCAAUCAAAAUGUACUUCAGUUUAAAUUAAAAAUAACCUGCAAACACUUGUAACAGAUUUUAUUUUAAAAGUGUGAAUUUUGAUAAGUUAAGAAAUUUAGCUUAAAAACCUGUGACUGAGGAGACUGGGAAUUUGAAUGUGGAAGAGGCCUGGAAGUUCUUCAAGCCCAUGGUGUUAAAGCUAUCAGGAUUUUAUAUUUCAAGUAAGAAAAAAAAAGGUUGCCAAGUCCUGCACUUCUUCCUAGCAAUCACUUCCAAAGAGAGGUUAGAAAUAGUUUGACAAUCUACAAGGAUUCAAAUAAAGGUCAAAAGGAAGAGCUAUCAAAGAAAGAUAUGCAUGGGGAAAAAAAAAAAGUAAGGAAAAAUGAGCUAUUCAAGUUAGGCCAUACAAAGACUAUUACAAGUUGUACCAAAAGGUUUUUCAGUCAUAUGAAUAAGAAUAGAAGAGGGGGAGAAGCAGCAGGAUCACCAAACAAUGAGGAUAGGAGAGAAAUGUAAGAUAAUUUUCUUUUUAUAGUUAAAUUAAUACCAUGACUCAGUUUUCAGUGAAGGGGAGAGGUGGCUGGCCAUGGACCAGUUAGCAAAUUUGUGGGCAGAAACUACAUCACCUGAAGGUGAAAGCAGAACUCAAAUAACUUAAUGCACUUAAAUCAGAGUCAGCAGGAUAUCUCCAUCCCAGAAUUGUAGCACAAGCACACAGGAUCACAGGUGAACCUGUGAAAAUUUCUUGCAAACCCCAGUCAGACCAAUUCACAUUUUGACAGGACAGAAACAAGUUUGUAGCUAUAUUUAAGAGCAAAUGAAAAAAAAAAUCCCACCAGUUUGAUUUCAAUAGGAUGCAAAACGGUAGAAGUUGUUUUAGAGUUGCAGAGACAGUUGCAUCUUCCACCUCUUUCCAGCACGCAACUACUAAAGAUGUACCAUUCCUGAUUGAGAGAAACUUUCCCUGAAGGAAAAGAACUGAGUUUCAAAAGAAAAAGGGAGUGUAGUACCCUGUUUGGCAGUGUAUCAUGUAUUAUGCCACAUGUAAAAAUUACAUGAGAGCUACAGACAGGCUUUUAUAGUGAGUGAAAAAGAAAGUUAGUUUUAAAAUGAGCAAGAAAUUGGCUACAGCAAAAAGACAUCAAAAUGCCAGAAAGGUGCUAACAGACUUCUUAAUAGAUUUACCUUAGAGCUCAGUUCAGCAUAUAUUCUCAUUAAUGCCGUUCCUGUGGGAACUUAAAGUCUCCCAAAGCCAUUUGUAGAAGACAUAAAACUGGGAAGCACAUCUAUGUGGGAAAGAGGAUUACAAGGCCACGCAGGAAGAGCUGCACAAAUCUUGUAAUGCAGAGUGUCACACAUGAAAUUGAAUUCAGUAAUGAACAGGACACUUGGGGAGUUCAUCAGUUAGAAACUGCAAUGGAGGAAACGCUUGGGGCUAUCAGCUGCUCCACAAGAAAACACCAGCCAUCAAUAUGAACUGGCUGCAAAACAAGCAAAGCCCAGGGUAUAUCAAACCUGACAAAACAAACUGGUUGAUUGACCUCACUUACUGGGAGGAGUGUGGUUGACAUCAGGACUCUGUGAAACUAAAGGGCAAUGCCAAUUUAUGCCCAAUAGGAACAAAUUAGCCCUGAGCACACCCAAGCCAGAAGUCAGGCACACAUUUCCAAGAAGAAAACAGUCAACAGGAGUAUUUGAACAACUUACAGUGCAAGAGACAGCAAAAUAUUUUCUAAACACAUAUUCUACAGUCUAGCAGAAAGCUGAACUAGCUCAUCAGAAAGGUCCCUUUCAAUCAUACACUCUAUUUAAUGGUACAGAAAUAAAGCCCAAGCUCAUGGGAGAAGGUAUCUUUUAGGAGAUCAGCUAAUACAGAUGGGAAACAAACACCACGUCUGGAGAAGCACAAACCCUCUCAGCUUUGCUUACUAUUAGCUAUGUUCACAAUCUGUGACAUAUCACAUGUCAGAGUGACAAGUAAGACAAUGAGGGUAACUCAAUUAAUCCAUUAAUCAUCUUAAUGGGCUAAGGGAAUCCUAUAGGACCACAGCAACCCUGCUAUUUAACAAGUUCACACCACAGAAUGGAUCUGCUCCCUAACCCACACCCAACCCAGGCUGACUGCAGGGGCUGAAUUACCAUCUCUGUAAAUGCUGAGAUUCUGAUUAUUUCAAAAGACAGUUGAAUAGGGAGCUUUUGCAUUGGAAGAGUUCUCAUGACACUGAAUUACACAGAAUUACCCCCAAAGAGUUCAAUCAAGAAGGUAAUUAGAAAAGUAGAGUUGUUUUGAUCUAUAUAUUAAAGUAGUUAUAGUUAUGACAUUAAAGAACUGACUUUAAGAGCAAAUAUCCAAGAGCAAGAAAGAUACAAACACUUGGAAAAAGAGAACUAAGUCAGCAAGGCACUUUGCCUCUCUUGCCUAAUCCAAGCCCAAAAUGUAUUGGGCAGGUGCAUCAAUAUUGCAAUAGCUACUUUAAAACCAUCAUGGAUCCAGCUGCUCCUUAAUUUCCAAGUACCGUUAUGCAUUUUAAAAGAUUAUUUUAUGAAACAUAGAUUCUUAAAAUACAAGUAAAAAUACGACUGAAACUGAAGAAGCUUGAGAAAGCACAGCUGAUGUUAGAGUUUGCUGUAGCAAUGCAAUAUGCAAAGACAGACUCCUUUUCUGCUACCCCUGAAGUACUUGAGCAUGACAUGGUAACGACCUCACUUGAGCAUUAUCCUGUUUUCCGUGCAUUUAAAUCAGAUUUUGUUCAAUUUCUACCAGACAGGUACACAGAGAUCUCAAAGCAGGUCACAGGAACAAGAUUUGUUCUCAGGAAGUUUUGAAGCUCGCUCACAACCAAAAGUGUUCGAAUAUCACAAGGCAUGACAAUGAGUCAGAGAGGGGCAAAAGCAGAACAAACACCUCAUGUGCUCCAGCUCUCAUUAUUUGAACCAAUUCUAGCUGGGACAGCAAGUGUCAGGCACCUGCUCACACCAACAGCACACAAUUUCAAAUACACAGUAAUAGUCACGACUUGGUUUUACAGCUCAGCCACAAAGACAAUGACUCCAAGUGCUCCUCAGCUCUGGGCACAAGGGCACUGUGACACACUUCGCAUCAUCAGGAAGAACAAAACCCAUUAAGUAAUGUGGGAACUCAGCACAUCACUCCGGAUGUCCAGAGCUACCAAGACAACCCUUGGGGGGCUCGGAAGUCCUGGAAUGUUGCCAAAAGUGUCUGGUGGCUUGACUUUGACCCUUCUAAAGAAGUGUCACCUGAGUGUGAGGAGAUGAGAGAAUUUCAAGUUUGAAUGGUGAGGGGAUGAUAUUCACUGGGUGAAACAUAGAUUUUAAUGCACUGUACAGGGGGGUUUUGAGUGUUGUACAGGGGGGUUGGAAUCCUGUACAUGGGAGUCAGGAGUCCCAAGAUGGAGGGAUUUGGGCGUGCCCUGUCCUUCUUCUUUCUUCUCCCUGGCAUCCAUGUUCAGGAUGAUGUUGGCACGUGUGGAUUGGUUCAUGGUGAAGGUACACUUGUUAACAAGGGUGAAAAGUAUUGAAAAUAGAAGGUAAAUAUCUAAUACAUAGUUUUCACUAUAAAAGACACAGCCGCCCCGUGGGUGGGAGAGAGUGCUUUUGGCUGCCUUGCUGAUCAGACCUCGGCUGGGCAGACAGAAAAACUUUGUAGAUAAGAAAUAAUAAACACAACCAAAGACCGAAAACUCCAGAGUCCAGACUCCUUCUUCAAAGCGCGGCCUGCCCAGAACCACCUUUUCCUGUGCUGGGGCAGAGACAAGCGACAGCCGACCCCGACAAAGUAAGAGACACCAUUCCCUGCUGCACACUCACACAUCCAGCUGGUUCUCUCAUGAGCAGUCAGUCUCACCCAGCCUCAGAAAGUCACUCUCCACAUAAAGAAUACAGGCAUUUGAAUUGGAAAAAGCCUGUGUAGUUUUGCCAAAGACAAAACUGAUUUCUAACUCAUUUAAUGAACUGGUAAGGUUGUAUGAACAUGAGAAAUGUCUGUCUGGUUCAGUGGUACCACUCUGAGGCACCCAUGAACUCCUGCACAGUGCCUGCAGAGAGUAAAUGAGCAGAGGAAACUCAAUAUUACUGUAAAGAUUCCAUGCAUGACCUGGAAGAUUUUUAGGGGUCCACAAAGACAAAAAGGUUGAAAAACUCUAGUCAUAGAAGCCUUUUUCAUCAACAGCUAUUCUGCAAACUCUGCUUCUAUAUUUAAAACACAGUAAAAAUACAAUUAAUUAUAAAUUGACUGGUAAUUUACUUAUUAGAAGCUUGGAAAAAAGCUCACUCAUUCCAGAUAAUGUCAGUAAGUUUCUACAUGAAUGUCUACACUUCUAUUAAUUCUGAGACAUCUCACUUUCUGUUUAUUAUUUGACAAUGUGUUAAUGGAACUGAAUUUCCACUUAGACUCUUUCCUAAGAAUUCACAACUCAUUCAGAAUCCACCCAUACGGACUGCAGAUAUCUGGAGACUUUUUGCCUUUCUUUUCUGAGAAAGAGAUUGUGAGAAAUCACAUCCAAACAGGCAAGGACUACAUCCAUCACAGCAGGCAAAAAUUAACCACCUCAAAAUUACAUGCAGUUUCUCCAGGGAGGUGAGGUGACCUAUGCACUGAUCUGGACAGUCAGUUAUGCUGUCAGUUAAGUCAGAGAUUGAGAAUAAAUGAGCUUCUGCAAUGAGUUAACACAGACACACAGGCACUACAAGGACUAUUGCAUUCCAGCUGAUGGUAUUCUGCACCCUUGACUGGAUAUGAAGCCUCUCAAGGAGAAAACUGAAACUUAAAAUCAGCAAGAAGAGCUGAUCACCUGGCAAAAUUCAGAAUGCAAAUAAAUAUGAAAAUCACUCAUCCUACAUGCAAGCAAAAAGAAGAACAAACAAACCAUCACCACCAAAAUGCUACAGGCACAUCCCUUGUCCUGUGACUACACCACUUGAACUAGAAACUGAGAUGCAGAAUAGACUGCAGAAUUUUAUAACCAUAAUAAUGGCCUUUGCAGCUCUACCAGACACAACCAAAAUGUCUGUCCUUGUACUUCAAUGCCAAGAAGAAAGUUUCCUUUAUUUCUCUCUGCCACUAUGUUGUAGUAGAGACUUUUAAAAUAAAGAUAUAAAUUCAUUUAGAUUUUAACUUCAAUCAGAGAGGAUUUUUUCUGUAAGUAAUUUUCAAAAGCCAUAACGACUACAAUACUGUUGGAUGUGACAGGCUUCUAGAGACUAACCAGAGCCUGGAAAAGUAAGAACAUUACAUAUAAUUCCCCUAACCAACAAGAGAAGCAGCUCCAGAAACUAAAAGUCACCCUCCUUGCCAGCCGAAGAAGUGCACAACAGCAGCUGGCAAGCAAGAAGAACAGCAUAAAAGGAAAGGUGAUGAGCUCAUGAGCUAAUAGGAGAAAGAACAUGCUGCUGUCUGUGGCUCUCUGGAAGUGCCACACAGGAGCUGUGAACAGCUACACUGGUAAACAAAUUACCACUGGACCAGGAUGCUUUGCAUGUGGAUUUCCAGAAAAUAAAGAAACAAAGCCACAAAACACUGAUUUCUUGUGUACUGACUUUGACUGUCUUGAAGGAACUCAUCUUCCUGACUCUAAAUUAUAAACUCACACCUAAAUUUUUUGUCAAACAUAUCAAGAAAUAGUAAUUGUUUCCUCUUUUUUCCUCUGAUUCUCUGCAGACAGUGAUGGCUAUCACACUCCCAGCCUGUGCCAGAUCAGAAAUUUAAUCUACAUGCACUGGAAAAUAAAAAUAAUCUUCAAGUCUCAGUCCUCUCAUACACCAUCACAAAGUGUUCAAACCAACUCAAGCAACAGCCACUGUGCCAGCUGAGGCAGAACUGCUCCUCUCCCUCUGCUCCUUUCCAGCAGCCCCCAGAGAACAGGGAUUCAGGGCUCAGGAUCUCCAGAUCCUUUUCAGUAUCCUUUCUGCUUCCCAGGCAGCAGCAACAGAGCAGGGGAACCUCUGACCCUGCCCACUGUCACCAAACCCACCCACGAGGCAUCCUCGCUCCCCUGCACGAGCAUCGAGCUGAUUAAUUAGCUGGAAAGUUUCCACAGGAUUUCUAACAGCAAAGGAGGAUGAGCAAGGGAGGGGAUCAAGAGUUAGAACUAGGAAAUGAUGCUAAAAACCAGCUCUGCAGGGAGGAGGUCUAAGAAAAGUGUGGGAAAACCUGUGAAAGGACAUGAAAAAUCCAGCACAGGAGUUACCCGGACAGGAGUUGUGGUGGAGAAUGGAGCAAAUGAAAACUCUAAGUGGUGAAAACUCAAAAAGCAAGAAUGAAAAAUAGAAAUUCAACAUCUCUUGUGGUUUUUAUUGUAGAGAAACAGACAAAUAGUGCUCAGCAAGUAAAUUAUUCUGUAAAUUCCACUAAUUUUCUUUUUCCACAGCUAUUGUGACCAACUGAAUAGCUGUGCAAGUAUUCCCAGAAUGAUGACAACAUUCAUCACACUGGAGAUACCAAAACACAGCCUAUCUGACCCGCCAUUAGGAUGCUAGUGGAAAAUACAUUACAAGUGAAAUUCUGCAAGCAAGAGACAACAGAGAACUAUCAUAUUUCACCCUUUUGAGCUGCACAGGGAGGAGGGAAGGUUUUUCACAGCAUAUUCGUGCUUGCAUUUGUCAGCUAGCUUGGGGGCAUGUAAACUGCCUUUCAACACUCUCUCUCUGCUCGAAGAAUACCCUCCUGUAUGAUUUAAACCUCAAACUUGCAUUCAAUGAACUCCAAAUAUAUCUUUCCACAUAAAUGCAA